rnacentral:rRNA from 1 species
UACAGAGGGUGCGAGCGUUAAUCGGAAUUACUGGGCGUAAAGCGUGCGUAGACGGUUAUUUAAGUCGGGUGUGAAAGCCCCGGGCUCAACCUGGGAAUUGCAUUCGAGACUGAAUAGCUAGGGUACGGUAGAGGGAAGCGGAAUUUCCGGUGUAGCGGUGAAAUGCGUAGAUAUCAGGAGGAACACCAAUAGCGAAGGCAGCUCGCUGGGACGUUACUGACACUGAGGCGCGAAAGCGUGGGGAGCGAACAGG